GCCGAGAUAGCUCAGUUGGUAGAGCAGAGGACUGAAAAUCCUCGUGUCACC
rnacentral:tRNA from 1 species